rnacentral:rRNA from 1 species
UACGGAGGGGGCUAGCGUUGUUCGGAAUUACUGGGCGUAAAGCGCACGUAGGCGGCUUUGUAAGUUAGAGGUGAAAGCCCAGGGCUCAACCCUGGAAUUGCCUUUAAGACUGCAUCGCUUGAACAUCGGAGAGGUAAGUGGAAUUCCGAGUGUAGAGGUGAAAUUCGUAGAUAUUCGGAAGAACACCAGUGGCGAAGGCGACUCACUGGACGACUGUUGACGCUGAGGUGCGAAAGCGUGGGGGAGCAAACAGG